rnacentral:tRNA from 1 species
GCGUCCGUUGCUCAGUCGGAUAGAGCACCAGAUAGACCUUCGGUCAGCUUCGCUUCCCUAAUCUGGGGGCCACAGGUUCGGAGCCGAAGGACGCAGUACGAAGGCGUCGGGAACGCAGUGGAGGACAAUCCUGUCGGGCGUU